CCUUACCAAGGCAGUGAUGGUAUAUGUCUUCUCUCAAGAUAUAUGGUAUUUGUGGUAUAAGGCAUAGUGACAUUGCCUUCUCUCUCACCCUACUCUAAUAAAUCUUUAAUAUCUGGAGCUCAUAGGUGGGAGACAGCUAAUACAUACUUACAAGAUAUUUAUUGCAUAGUCAAACCAUGGAUCCAGAGAAACAAGUCAAUAAGUCAAAUCAAGAUGUCCAUGUGUGGCGAAUGAAUGGUGUAUGGUGAUGAUGGUGAUAACAAUGGUGGAAGUCUAAUUCUACUUUUGCUCUGUUGAGGGGAUACACACCUUCCUUGCUUUUUGAAACUUUAUGAGGAGAAUGAGAUGCUCUGUCUUUCAUUUUUCUUUUCUCUCAGGUGGGUAUCUUGUACUUCUAAUUCUAUUGUCGGACACUUGUCUAUUUUUACCUCUCGUCUCACUCUUUUUUUUCUUUCGAGGUUCCGGGCACUUGCCCCUUUUUAUUUCCUCGCUUAUUAUUUUUUUUCAGAGCAAUCAUCUCUUGAGAUAAUAUAGCAAGUGGUAGUAGCAAGAUAACUUGAGCAUUUAUUUCACAAGGGAAAACAAAAAUAUUUUUGGCUAUUCUCUCCCUGUAACACCCUAAAAAUUCCACUAUUCCAAAUAGGCAAAUUGAUUUAAUUAAUUGUUGUGAGCACUGGGAAAUAGUAAAAAAUUAAUUUUUUAUUGAAUUAAAAUUCACUAUAAGGCCUAGACACAUGUAUGUGCAUCCAUGCUGCU
rnacentral:lncRNA from 1 species